UGUGAGAGUGAUGAGUUGCACACUGGCAGACUAACAAUAUUAGGGGGUGCAGGCAGUGUUCCUUACUGCCCUGAUGAAUAAAGUGCACAGAGGCCACUCAGU